CUAAUUGAUUGAUUGUUUGUCUGCAAGCAGCAGCAGCUGGUAUCGAGUUCAAGGUGCACACAAGCAAAUCCUGUCAUGGAAAAACGUGACCUUUACUCUGGUUUAAUAAUGCCAACAGGUUAUGCGUUGGUCUACCAACAUUUUUGUGGUGGUCUAAUCUGUGUUUGGUGCCAGUUUUAUCCACUCCAUAUUCCACUAAAAUUAAACCUUUUCUUGACAUCUCCUGAAAUAUUUUGCUCUGUCAUCGUUAACACAGCUCCAAUUGUGUCCAUGACAAAACUAUAGUGACAACUGCAGAGAGACACUCGAGAGAAGAAGUGGACUGGUUCGGACAAAACAGAAGUUUCUGGGACAACUUUAGGAUUAUUUUUAUGGCUUCGCUGCUUUAUUGGACUUUAUAGAGAAGCGGUGAGAUGAGCACGAGAGGCCUGAUGACAUGAAACAUAAAUCAUGAGCUGGUGUCAGAGUCAUUUACCACUUUAUGGCACUAGAUGCUUCCUAGGCUGGUACGCAUUGUGGGACAGUUUUAUCACCUCAGUCUUUCCCUGUGCAUUUAUUUAGCAUGAAACUGAAUGUUAACAAUUAUUUAAAAUUAUCAUUGUUUUGCUUGCUGAAGUGCUGAGACUGGAGGAAUGUGGAUUAUAUUGAAAGGCAGAACUAAUACAUUUAAGAGGUGUUUCAAUUUUAGACUUAUUCCAAAAACAAAUGGUUUGAAAUUGUUAUAAUAACCGUAGGAAUUUCAACAAUCGCGGUUCCUGAAGAAGGCUGUUUGCUAAAUCGGCGAUCUUAAAGUUGAAAUAAAUGUGAAGGAGUUCUGAAUGUG